CAACUACUCCCUCCGUUCUGAAUUACUUGUCGCAGGUAUGGAUGUAUCUAGAUGUAUUUUAGUUCUAGAUACAUCCAUUUCUGCGACGAGUAAUUUGGAACGGAGGGAGUAUAAC
rnacentral:pre_miRNA from 1 species